rnacentral:piRNA from 1 species
AAUUCCAUGCCCAUGGUGUCAACUAACC